rnacentral:rRNA from 1 species
GCGAUAGGGGACUCCGAGUGCGAGGGCAUAUAGUCCUCGCUUUUCACCACCGUAAGGUGGUGGUGGAAUAAGUGCUGGGCAAGACCGGUGCCAGCCGCCGCGGUAAUACCGGCAGCACGAGUGAUGACCGCUAUUAUUGGGCCUAAAGCGUCCGUAGCUGGCCAGGCAAGUCUAUCGGGAAAUCUGCGCGCUUAACGCGCAGGCGUCCGGUGGAAACUGCGUGGCUUGGGACCGGAAGACCAGAGGGGUACGUCCGGGGUAGGAGUGAAAUCCCGUAAUCCUGGACGGACCACCGGUGGCGAAAGCGCCUCUGGAAGACGGAUCCGACGGUGAGGGACGAAAGCUCGGGUCACGAACCGGAUUAGAUACCCGGGUAGUCCGAGCUGUAAACGAUGUCUGCUAGGUGUGGCACAGGCUACGAGCCUGUGCUGUGCCGUAGGGAAGCCGAGAAGCAGACCGCCUGGGAAGUACGUCCGCAAGGAUGAAACUUAAAGGAAUUGGCGGGGGAGCACUACAACCGGAGGAGCCUGCGGUUUAAUUGGACUCAACGCCGGACAUCUCACCAGCAUCGACAAUGUGCAGUGAAGGUCAGAUUGAUGAUCUUACUGGAGCCAUUGA